CCUACUAAUGUGUUCGGAUGAUAUUCUUUAUCGCUGUUAAGUGUAGCGUAACAUCCGAGUGGUCGAUUUGACCUUUAACGAGACCAGUCUCGAGACCGUGCGAGAUCUGCACCAGUUCCUGUAAGAUUUAGACAGGAAGUAGAUGUGUGUUUUGGGAUUUAUGCAUUUAAUGAUAUGGAGAUAACGAACAAUUUUCAAUCUCAAAGUCCAUAAAACAAUACAAAAUAGGAGCAAAGCAAACACAGACCUCCGAAACAUUAGAGGUGGGAUCAGGUGCCAUGGAGGUGUGAGCAUUCCCUGCUGACCGGUCACACCCACUGUCUCUUAUAUCAAUAUUCUGAGUCCGCCAGUCGCCCAUGAAAUACAGGGGUUGUACAGAGAUUUGGACAAUCUAUCAUCUACAGGAUGAAGUCAGGAUCACAAACAAAUAAGAAAAUCUGUUCAAGAACUUCAAGAAACUGUCCACUGAGACAUAAAAACAUGUACAGAGGCUAUUUCAAAAUACACACAAAGCAGGAUUUGUCAAAGUUGUGUUUUUGACAAAGAAGGUUUAAAACCUUUGUGGACAUGGAUUUUGAAACUUCUUAAAACUCUGGAAGGAUGAGGAAAAGGAAAGUGGCAUUGAAAUGGAACAUGUUGGACAGGGUUAUCACGG